rnacentral:lncRNA from 1 species
CAGGACAAAGAGAGAUGUUUUUUCACCGUGAGAUACCAAAUAUUCACCGUGAAAGAGAGAGGGUGGCAUGUGGAUUGAUUGAGAAUUAGUUAGGAAUGAAUUUGAAUUCAAAUAGGAUUUGAAUUUGAAUCUAAUCCUAUUCUUAAUAAAUCUCCUAACACCAUCUUUUAAGAGGCUGGUUUUUUUGUGCGACAAAAGACCUUAAGCAACCAUGAGAUAUCUGAUAUCAUGCGAUAGAAAAUCUAAGAGGGG